AAAAAGACCAUCCAUGUUUCCCCAUCAUUGAGGAUUACAGCAAAACCAUCAGGGGAAUUUGGGUUGUAGCGUUGCCUGAGACUCCAUGGUAAAGAAACCCCACAGGUUGAUGGAGGAAACAACUAACAGGACUCUGGUAACUGACCUUCACCAGGAUACUCAUCUGGGGUCCACAAAACUUUCUGAGUGGCUCAGACUAAGUUCCACUUCUGGCUAACCGUUCUUGUCAACUGAAGUAUGUCAACCCAGGACAUGUUUUUUGUGCUUACAAGCCCACCUUGGAGAAGGCUCAGGUCUAUACUGGAAUCCCAAACAUCUAAUGUAGUUGCUGGCUG
ensembl:antisense Gm11337 predicted gene 11337